CCUACGGGAGGCAGCAGUAGGGAAUCUUUCACAAUGGGCGAAAGCCUGAUGGAGCAACGCCGCGUGCAGGAUGAAGGCCUUCGGGUUGUAAACUGCUUUUAUAAGCGAGAAAUAUGAUGGUAACUUAUGAAUAAGGAUCGGCUAACUACGUGCCAGCAGCCGCGGUCAUACGUAGGAUCCGAGCAUUAUCCGGAGUGACUGGGUGUAAAGAGUUGCGUAGGUGGCAUAAUAAGUAGCUAGUGGAAUCUGGUGGCUCAACCAUUCAGACUGUUAGCUAAACUGUUAAGCUCGAGAGCGUUAGGGGUAACUGGAAUUUCUAGUGUAGGGGUGAAAUCCGUAGAUAUUAGAAGGAACACCAAUAGCGAAGGCAGGUUACUGGGACGGUACUGACACUAAGGCACGAAAGCGUAGGGAGCAAACGGGAUUAGAUACCCCAGUAGUC
rnacentral:rRNA from 1 species